GAUGAACGCUGGCGGCGUGCCUAAUACAUGCAAGUCGAGCGAAUGGAUUAAGAGCUUGCUCUUAUGAAGUUAGCGGCGGACGGGUGAGUAACACGUGGGUAACCUGCCCAUAAGACUGGGAUAACUCCGGGAAACCGGGGCUAAUACCGGAUAACAUUUUGAACCGCAUGGUUCGAAAUUGAAAGGCGGCUUCGGCUGUCACUUAUGGAUGGACCCGCGUCGCAUUAGCUAGUUGGUGAGGUAACGGCUCACCAAGGCAACGAUGCGUAGCCGACCUGAGAGGGUGACCGGCACGACUGGGAAUGAGACACGGCCCAGACUCCUACGGGAGGCAGCAGUAGGGAAUCUUCCGCAAUGGACGAAAGUCUGACGGAGCAACGCCGCGUAAGUGAUGAAGGCUUUCGGGUCGUAAAACUCUGUUGUUAGGAAAGAACAAGUGCUAGUUGAAUAAGCUGGCACCUUGACGGUACCUAACCAGAAAGCCACGGCUAACUACGUGCCAGCAGCCGCCGUAA
rnacentral:rRNA from 1 species